GAACUAACUCCCUUCCCUCUACUCCCAGAGCCCGCCCGGCAGGACCACCGAGCAAGGCCUUGGAAAACCAGAGAGAUUAGAGCGGUGAGUCGCGCCGGUCACGUUGGACGCCUGCGCGUUAGGAGAUUCUGGAGCCAGAACAGCGGAAUUGCCUUCGCCCGCCCUGCCCCUCGCCUGCUUCAGAAGCUUCCAGGAACUCCCGGGUCGGCGACCCAGCCCGAGCCGCCUGGGGCCCCAAGGGAAGCUGAACGCCCUGUGGGCUCCUGGGAUGGUUCUUCCCGUUCUUUGCGCCGCCUUCACCCAUUGAAGAGCCUGUGCCCACCCUGCCCAGUCGCUCUCGGGGCCGCGGAGGAGCUUCCGCUGCCAUCUUCGGAUCCUGUGUUCCGCACGGGGGCUCCACCAGGGCAGGGAUGGUGAAUGGGGAAAUGGAGAGAGAACCUGAAAGAGCCCCAAACUCGAGGACCUAUUGCUCCCCAAGAAUAACAUCUUCCAGAAGAACUAGACAGAAAACUAGGCGUCUGGGAACUCUGAAAUCCUUGGAGGAGUAGCAUCAUCAUGACCCUCUGUGUUCCUUUUGGCAAAGGACUUGCUCCCAUUGUUUGCUUGUUCCAUUGUCUGUCUGUUAAAUAAAUAAAACCCUUUUCAUAUAUCUUUAAACUUACGUUGGUUUUAUCAUUUUAUGAUUACAAGUAAUGCUGCAGUCAUCAUUCUUGUACACUCUCA
rnacentral:lncRNA from 1 species